rnacentral:rRNA from 1 species
CCUACGGGAGGCAGCAGUCGAGAAUCAUUCACAAUGGGGGAAACCCUGAUGGUGCGACGCCGCGUGGGGGAAUGAAGGUCUUCGGAUUGUAAACCCCUGUCAUGUGGGAGCAAAUUAAAAAGAUAGUACCACAAGAGGAAGAGACGGCUAACUCUGUGCCAGCAGCCGCGGUAAUACAGAGGUCUCAAGCGUUGUUCGGAAUCACUGGGCGUAAAGCGUGCGUAGGCUGUUUCGUAAGUCGUGUGUGAAAGGUGCGGGCUCAACCCGCGGACGGCACAUGAUACUGCGAGACUAGAGUAAUGGAGGGGGAGCCGGAAGUCUCGGUGUAGCAGUGAAAUGCGUAGAUAUCGAGAGGAACACUCGUGGCGAAGGCGGGUUCCUGGACAUUAACUGACGCUGAGGCACGAAGGCCAGGGGAGCGAAAGGGAUUAGAUACCCUAGUAGUC